AGGCCAAGACACCCCACCAAAGGAACCCCUCUCUACAGCCCCCACUGAGGCCAGCAGGCCCGCCGAGUGUACACAUACAUGGACACACGUCAUCUUGCAGAAGAAAAGGUUAGGAGUCCUUGGAUUUCUUUUCAAUAAGCUGUCAGCAAUAGCACUGGAUGCCAAGGAGGAAGAUGGAGUUAGUCCAGAAGUCGAACUUCCAGAAAGAAAAACUCAGUCUUCAAGGUGCAUAUGCAUGAUUGCCUAACAGCAGAAGAUCCAGAGGCCAUAGUGGACCCCAGAUUUCACAGACUUUGCAGUCUGCUGUUAGAAAGUGGUCUAGGCUCACUCUGGAGGGCUUCUGGAGAUCUGGCUCCUAUGUCCUAUUUGGGGGACCUCUGGGCCUGCCCCUCAGCACUCAUCCCUUAAACACUGAAGACGGUGAGGGUUCCCUGGUUCUGAAGAUAGGUUUGAAUCUCAGUUCUUCUGCCUUCCAGCUGUGGUCUUUGGAAUAUGGCAGAAGUGACAUCACAUGACUUUGGAGGCUGGGUCAGAAAAGAGGAAUCAGCUUUGCACGUCGUCCUUGGGAACACUGGAUCCUGGGUGGCCGUAUACGAAAGUCAACUACCCUGAAGCUGCCCUGCUGUGAGGAAGCCCAAGCCACAUGGAGAGGCCAGGGGACUGCAUCUCCAAAGGGCGGCCUUCAGGUGACAUCUGCCAUGUUGAGUGUGUGCCUGAAGAAUUACACCAAUAAACCCUGAGGAUGCAAAUACAAAAGGGGUAAGG